AGGCCAUGUCCAGACUCAUUCCUUGGUUAAGGGAGAGCAGGCCAUGUCCAGACUCAUUCCUUGGUUAAGGGAGAGCAGGCCAUGUCCAGACUCAUUCCUUGGUUAAGGGAGAGCAGGCCAUGUCCAGACUCAUUCCUUCCUCAUUCCCUCAUUCCUUCCUCAUUCCUUGCUAUUUGUCCCUUGUCUUCCAAGUGCCUGGCAUGCCAUCUACUAAACUGUCUGUUUGAUCUGUGACAGUGACGUCCAUCGGAUGGAGAAGGAGCAGGAGGUAGAGAGAGAGAGAGACAGACAACGCUCCACCAAGUUCUUUGACGCCAAGAUCAACUUCAACGAACCUCCUCCUAAGCCCUGCAGGAUGAAACCUGGGGGUCGUUUUGGAAACGGUAUCGGCCUGCACAUUCAGCUGAAUGAGGCCCUUUGUGCCAGCUCUCCAGACCUGGCCAGUCCCUGUGACUACACCUCUCCUGUCGACUCCAUGAGCAACAGCUUGGUGGUUCCUGUGAUAUCUCCACGACGAUGCAGCAUGGGGGUGAGACGAGUUAUCUAGGUCUAGUCUACUUCCUUCUAGACUCUAGUUAUCUAGUGCUUGUCUACUUCCAUUUACAUUUACAUUUAAGUCAUUUAGCAGACGCUCUUAUCCAGAGCGACUUACAAAUUGGAGACUAGUUAUCUAGUGCAAGUCUACUUCUUUCUAGACUAGUUAUCUAGGUCUAGUCUACUUCCUUGUAGACUAGUUAUCUAGUGCUAGUGUACUUCCUUCUAGACUAGUUAUCUAGUGCUAGCCUACUUCCUUGUAGACUAGUUAUCUAGUUCUAGUCUACUUCCUUCUAGACUAGUUAUCUAGUCUACAUCCUUCAAGACUCUUAUCUAGUUCUAGUCUACUUCCUUCUAGACUCUAGUUAUCUAGUUCUAGUUUCCUUCCUUUCAGACUAGUUAUUUAGUUAGUUAUUAUCACGGCACAAGGCGAGACCCAAAUGCAGACACAGGAGGCAGAUGGUUGGAGUCUUACAAUAUUUAUUAAUCAAAAGGAGUAGGCAAGAGAACGGUCGUGGACAGACAAAAAGGUCAAAACCAGAUCAGAGUCCAGGAGGUACAGAGUGGCAGACAGGCUCGUGGUCAAGUCAGGUAGAAUGGUCAGGAAGACAGGCUCGUGGUCAAGGCAGGUAGAAUGGUCAGGCAGGCGGGUACAGAGUCCAGAAACAGGCAAGGGUCAAAACCGGGAGGACUGGAAAAAGGAGAAUGCAAAAAGCAGGAGAACGUGAAAAAUGCUGGUUGACUUGGAAACAUGCAAGACAAACUGGCAGAGAGAGACAGGAAACACAGGGAUAAAUACACUGGUACAGAGAGACAGGAAACAUAGGGAUAAAUACACUGGGGAAAACAAGACCUGGAGGGGGAGGAGAAAAUCACAAGGACAGGUGAAACAGAUCAGGGUCUGACUGUUAUAGUCUCAUUCCUUCUAGACUAGUUAACUAGUUCUAGUUUCCUUCCUUUUAGACUAGUUAUCUAGUUCUAGUUUCCAA